CAGCCGCCGCGGUAAAACGUAGGUGGCAAGCGUUGUCCGGAAUUAUUGGGCGUAAAGGGCUCGCAGGCGGUUUCUUAAGUCUGAUGUGAAAGCCCCCGGCUCAACCGGGGAGGGUCAUUGGAAACUGGGAAACUUGAGUGCAGAAGAGGAGAGUGGAAUUCCACGUGUAGCGGUGAAAUGCGUAGAGAUGUGGAGGAACACCAGUGGCGAAGGCGACUCUCUGGUCUGUAACUGACGCUGAGGAGCGAAAGCGUGGGGAGCGAACAGGAUUAGAUACCCGAGUAGUCCCUGUCUCUUAUAC
rnacentral:rRNA from 1 species